rnacentral:rRNA from 1 species
UCGAGCGGUAUUGUUUCUUCGGAAACGAGAGAGCGGCGCACGGGUGCGGAACACGUGUGCAACCUGCCUUUAUCUGGGGGAUAGCCUUUCGAAAGGAAGAUUAAUACCCCAUAAUAUUUUGAAUGGCAUCAUUUAAAAUUGAAAACUCCGGUGGAUAGAGAUGGGCACGCGCAAGAUUAGAUAGUUGGGUAGGGUAACGGCCUACCAAGUCAGUGAUCUUUAGGGGGGCCUUAAAAGGGUGAUCCCCCCCCCUGGGUCGGAUAAACCGGGGCCAAAAUCCUUAUGGAAGGGGUGCGUUUGGGAAUUUUUUGGACAAAGGGGUGGGAAUGGUUUUAUGCCGGGGGCGUCGCCCGGGUUAAAAGGGAGAAGGGGGCGCCGGUGGGGUGGGGGUAUAAUAAACACUCUUGGUGUUUNUGGGGGGGUGUGGGGGGAAAAGGGGCCCGUUGGCGG